rnacentral:rRNA from 1 species
UACGUAGGGACCGAGCGUUGUCCGGAAUCAUUGGGCGUAAAGAGCGUGUAGGCGGCCUUUUAAGUCCUGCGUGAAAUCCUGCGGCUCAACCGCAGACGGUCGUGGGAAACUGGAAGGCUAGAGUGCGGGAGAGGAGAGUGGAAUUCCCGGUGUAGCGGUGAAAGUGCGCAGAUAUCGGGAAGAACACCCGUGGCGAAGGCGGCUCUCUGGAACGCAACUGACGCUGAGACGCGAAAGCGUGGGGAG